GUGCUCGCUUCAGCAGCACAUACAUUAAAUUGGAAUGAUACAGAGAAGAUUAGCAUGGCCCCUGCGCAAGAAUGACACCCAAAUUCGUGAAGCAUUCCAUAUAAAA